ACAUCUGAUACAUUAUGAAAUUGACUAAAUGAUAUAUAACAAUAUGUAUCAACAAGUCCGGCUCCCAUGGAUAAAGAUGUAGCAUAGCUGGUUCUGAGGUAAUCCAUGGUUUUGAUGGGUUUUUCAGUAUUAUCCAGGGGAUUUGCAGUGGUCAUCAUGGCAGAUCGAAUAGCGGAAGGACUCCAAUCAGGAUGUACUCCUUUUAGCAUUGCAGCAAUUCCGGAAAUGUGAGGAGCAGCCAUCGAAGUGCCUGAAAGAAGACUGUAAUCACUAUUCAAAAAUGUAUUGACACCAAUGACUGCAGCUGAAGUGUUCG
rnacentral:misc_RNA from 1 species